rnacentral:sRNA from 1 species
AAAAUGAGUGAUCACUAAGGUAAAUGAUGAUAAACACAUGCCUAAAAUGAGUAAAAUACAGUGUUAUCAGCUACAAGCUGCUCCAUUGGUUCAAGUUCCAAGUCUUGUCCGGCGAUGGUCAUAUCAUGCCCUCCCUCUUGAAAAAGAUU